GACGAACGCUGGCGGCGUGCUCAACACAUGCAAGUCGAACGGUAAGGCCCUUCGGGGUACACGAGUGGCGAACGGGUGAGUAACACGUGGGUGAUCUGCCCUGCACUUCGGGAUAAGCCUGGGAAACUGGGUCUAAUACCGGAUAGGACCACUGCCUGCAUGGGUGGUGGUGGAAAGCUUUUGCGGUGUGGGAUGGGCCCGCGGCCUAUCAGCUUGUUGGUGGGGUGAUGGCCUACCAAGGCGGCGACGGGUAGCCGGCCUGGGAGGGUGCCCAGUCACACAGGGACUGAGAUACGGACCAGACUCCAACGGGAGGCAGCAGUGGGGAAUAUUGCACAAUGGGCGCAAGCCUGAUGCAGCGACGCCGCGUGAGGGAUGACGGCCUUCGGGUUGUAAACCUCUUUCAGCACCGACGAAGCGCAAGUGACGGUACCUGCAGAAGAAGCACCGGCUAACUACGUGCCAGCCGCCGCUGUAA
rnacentral:rRNA from 1 species